rnacentral:tRNA from 1 species
GGACAGGUGGCAGAGUGGUUGAAUGCGCUAGUCUCGAAAACUAGUAUGGGUGCAAGCCCAUCGAGGGUUCAAAUCCCUCCCUGUCCGCCA